rnacentral:rRNA from 1 species
UACGGGGGGAGCAAGCGUUAUUCGGAAUCAUUGGGCGUAAAGCGCGCGUAGGCGGUCUACUCUGUCAGGUGUGAUAGCCCGGGGCUCAACCUCUGAAGAGCACUUGAAACUGGGAGACUUGAGUAUGGGAGAGGGAAGUGGAAUUCCUGGUGUAGCGGUGAAAUGCGUAGAUAUCAGGAGGAAGACCGGUGGCGAAGGCGACUUCCUGGACCAAUACUGACGCUGAGGCGCGAAGGCGUGGGGAGCAAACAGG